rnacentral:rRNA from 1 species
AUUGAACGCUGGCGGCAGGCCUAACACAUGCAAGUCGAACGGUAACAGGAAGCAGCUUGCUGCUUGCUGACGAGUGGCGGACGGGUGAGUAAUGUCUGGGAAACUGCCUGAUGGAGGGGGGUAACUACUGGAAACGGUAGCUAAUACCGCAUAACGUCGCAAGACCAAAGAGGGGGACCUUCGGGCCUCUUGCCAUCAGAUGUGCCCAGAUGGGAUUAGCUUGUUGGUGGGGUAACGGCUCACCAAGGCGACGAUCCCUAGCUGGUCUGAGAGGAUGACCAGCCACACUGGAACUGAGACACGGUCCAGACUCCUACGGGAGGCAGCAGUGGGGAAUAUUGCACAAUGGGCGCAAGCCUGAUGCAGCCAUGCCGCGUGUAAUGAAGAAGGCCUUCGGGUUGUAAAGUACUUUCAGCGGGGAGGAAGGUGUUGUGGUUAAUAACCACAGCAAUUGACGUUACCCGCAGAAGAAGCACCGGCUAACUCCGUGCCAGCAGCAGC